AAGUGAAUGGCACUGUGUCUGUGUGUCUACCAACAAUAGAUUAAUGGCUAUAGGCUAUAGCCGCCUGAUGAAUUUUUCAUGAAAAAUCAACACAGAGACAGUGUCAUUCUCUGUCUACCUUGAUUCCAUGAUUGGAGAAAUUGUAAUCUUCGUUUUCCUGUUCAUCUCCCAAACUUGCAAGGGAGGGGAUUCAAAUCACUGUGCAGCUUCUUCAUGUGGGAAUAACCACAACAUCAGUUACCCUUUUCGAUUACAAACUGAUCCUAAGAAAUGCGGAGACCAUAGAUAUGAGCUUUCUUGUCAAAACAAUUUGACGGUGUUAAAUCUUAACGGUGGAAGAUACUAUGUUCAGUCCAUCGAUUACGAUAACUUCACUAUCGGACUGGUGGAUGCUGGCGUCCAUCCAGACAAUUGCUCCUCCAUUCCUCGUUUUCCAUUUAUAUACGAUCUGUCAGAAAGAUAUUCCACUACAUACUCAUGGUUAGAAUCCGAAGGAUACAAAUGGGCGUAUUUAUCGCAGCAGAUUAUGUUCAUAAAGUGUCAAAACCCAGUGAAGUCUCCUCCUUACGUGGAAACAGCUCCCUGUCUUAACUCUUCUUAUGUAAAUAUAGGAGACAUGACCGCAUACGAUUUGAUGGAGUUGUGCAGCGUGGAGAUGAUUAGUUUGUUUCCAUUAUUUCCGGUAAAGAAGAACAUGUCGUUUCUUGAAAUUCAUAGGCAACUUGCAUUUGGGUUUCAGCUUUCCUGGCACAACAUCUACUGUGGACAAUGUGAUGGUCUUUGCUAUCUGGACAGCAGAAAACGUUUUCGAUGCAGUAGCGGGUGUAAGUAAUGCUUUCAUCAUCCAUUUUAUCAUUAAUAAUUGUUUACUUUUGAUGACCCCUGAGUUCACCUCAUCCCCGUCUAGGACUAGGCCCAUGAAAAUAGCCCACUGCCCAGAGAUUCUCAAGCCAUUCACGCCAAUUGGGUUCAACCCACUAAGCCUCAUGACCAGGUUCAUCCAGCUUCCCUCAUCAGGCCGUACACGCCACAUCUACUCCUUAGGCCGAUUCCGUUUAGGCCCUGCUCUACUCUCACUCUCCGGCCCAGCCCAAAACCCGAAAGAGGAUCCGUCCACUCAUCUUGUAGACCCGCCUACCCGACCCUGGAGAGGAUCAGAGGCCGUUAUGCAUGGGGCAGAGAUCUGAUUCCUUCGUACGUCCGUAUCAGUGUGGCAGGGACAGGUGGUCUACUGGUAUUCGUUCUAUCGGCACGUCACUAGCGGACAAAAGAAAACCUAUAAAAGGAGAAAUGCUCUCUUCUAGGUUUAAGCUUUUUCUAAGUUUACAGAGCCCAUUGUAAAACCCUAUUUCUCUGGAUCUCAGAUCAUCAAUUGGCGCCGUCUGUGGGAACCGGAGGAGAUCUUUUCAUCACCGCAGUUCCACUCUUAACAACACCCACUGAGAUCCACGAUGGCUAAUCACAACGAAAACAACCUUAACACCCCAAACGACCUAAGCUCUGCCCAAGAAGGGCAGCAGUUCUCCUUUUCUAGCCCUACAACAUUAAACAACCAAACACCCAUUCCUCUCAAUCCUUCGCCAAGUUUAGCAGGAAAUGCCCCCACCGCUACCUUAUACAACCAGGACCUUCAAACCAUGGCCCUCCAGCUACAGAAUAUCGCCCACUGAUUGGGGCAGAUAAUGCAACAAAGGGGCCUCAGCACCCCCAUAAAUACACUCCCAGUGGUAGAAGAACCCCAAACCAAUGAGCCCCGACCUACCCCUGAUCGCCUUCAAACUAGCAGCCGUGACACUGGGGAAAGAGAGAGAAGAGCAGGGGAAGAGGAAGAGCCGGAGGCUCGAGCCCACGGAAGAAGGGCGAGGGAGAUGAUAGAAAAUGAGGAGGCUGACAACUAUUCCGCCGGGACAACCAGGUGGACCAGAAGUGAAGUAGAAGGAGAGGAGUAUCGCCUGGAGAAAAAGCCCAGGCUGGAAGAUGAAGAUGUGGACCAAAAACUGCAGAGGUUGAGAGAGUAGCUUUUGGUCGAGCUGGGAAAGAAAGAUCAAAGCCAAACCUUCCUGCCCACCUCUUCGCCUUUCUCGAAGUGGGUGCAACAGGAAACUGUCCCUAAAAAGUUUAUGAUGCCAUCAAUGUCGGCCUACGACGGAGCUGGUAACCCAAGGGAGCACGUCAUGAAUUACAAGACCUUCAUGGAAUUGCAAACUUUAUCGGAUGCCCUGAUGUGCAAGGUAUUCCCCACGACACUUUCAGGGCCAGCACGAGCGUGGUUCAACAGCCUGGAGACUGGAAGUAUUGGGAGUUUUGGAGACCUAGCCACUCGUUUCAUUAGCAGGUUCAUCGCCGGGGUGCCAGCGGAUAAGAAGACGAGUUAUCUGGAAACAGUAAGGCAAAGACGGGAGGAAUCGCUUAGAGAGUACGUAGCUCGUUUCAAUACAGAAGCCCUGCAGAUUCCCGAGCUCGAUGAAGGAAGGGCGAUGGAGGCCAUGCAGAAUGGAACGACCUCCGCUGAGUUUUUCGGUUCUUUAAGCAGGAAGCCUCCGACCUCACUGGCCGAGCUAAUGAAGAGGGCUGAGAAGUAUAUAAGACAGGAUGACGCUCUGGUGACAAGCCGAUUCGCCAAGGGAACGGCAGGCAAGGAGAAAGCCCCGGAGGAAAGGAGGCCAGAGAAGCAUGAAAAGAAGCAUGGCAAAAGGUCUGAGCCUUACAGACAGCCUUGGGAGCGAAGGGACCAAAGACCUUUUCCCCCUCGAUCCUCAGAACAAAGGCCACUUCCUUCAUGGGUUCCAGAGAAGCCGACCCCACUUAACGCCUCUAGAGCCGAAGUGCUCGUAGCCGUCCAGGAUAAAGAAUUCUUGCAAUGGCCCAAGCCCCUGAAAGCGGAAGCCGACCAGCGCAAUCCUGACAAAUAUUGUUAGUUCCACCGAACUCAUGGUCAUGACACCAACAACUGUUUCCAGUUGAUUGCAGAAAUUGAGAGGUUGAUCAAGAGAGGGCACCUAAAGAACUUUGUAAAGAAAUCGGAAGGACAAAGACCUCAACCCAAUCCGACAGCUCAAACGCCGAGAAGAACAGGAGCUAACACUGUGAAUGACAGGUCCAGUGGAACUAUCAACAUGAUCGUAGGAGGCACGGGAGGUCGGAUGAGUCGAAGGGGGAAAAAGAGAAGCAGAGAAGGAGAAACUAUCAGUACUGAGGUCAUGCAAAUCGUUGAACACUAUUCAACAGCCAUCACUUUCUCCUCGGAGGAUGCUCAGGGUGUUCAGAUGCCUCAUGAUGACGCCUUUGUCAUUGAAGCUGUUAUUCACAAUUAUGGGGUAAAGAAAAUCUUGGUGGAUGACAGAAGCAAGGUAAACCUGUUGCCUUAUCGAGUCUUCCAGCAGAUGGGCAUUCCGGAAGAGCAACUGGUUCGGGAUCAAGCCCCGAUUAAAGGGAUUGGAGGAGCACCAGUAAUAGUGGAAGGGAAAGUAAAGCUAGCCUUUACUUUGGGAGAGGCCCCGAGGGCUCGCACCCAUUAUGCAGUGUUCUUGGUGGCUAAACUCCCUCUGAGCUACAAUGCGAUUCUGGGACGACCUGUGCUGUUCGAUUUUGAAGCUGUCACCAGUAUCAGAUACUUGGCAAUGAAAUUCCCCACAGAAGCAGGGGUGGCAACAGUUCGUGGAAGUCAAGAGGAAGCAAGGGCAGUGUACCUGGCUACCGUAGCAGAGCCGAGCUUAACAGAAGAAAAGAUGGAUUCAGAAGUCCUGGAGGUCCGAGAUGAGAAAAUAGAAGCCAGAACAGAGCCGGUGGGGGAACUAGAGACCUUCUCCUUAUCAAAAACGGAAACAGACAAAACCUUCAGUCUCAACGCCGGCCUCACCAAGGAGCAGAAAGCCGAGGUGAUGACCUUGAUUCGAGGUCAUGCAUCAAGCUUCGUCUGGAAGCCUUCAGACAUGCCCGGAAUUGACCCCGGGGUGAUGACCCAUAGACUGAAUGUCCUCCCUAAAGCCAGACCAGUAAAGCAGAAAAAGAGGGUAGUAGGAAGGGAAAAGCAGCAGGCCACCAAGGAGGAAGUACAGAAGUUAGAGGAGGCAGGCUUUAUUAGAGAAGUUAUGUACCCACAAUGGCUAGCCAAUCCUGUAUUAGUCAAAAAAGCCAAUGGCAAAUAUAGGAUGUGCAUAGACUUUACUGAUCUGAAUAAGGCCUGCCCUAAAGAUUGUUAUCCCCUCCCUGAUAUUAAUAAAAUGGUCGACUCUACGGCCGGUUUUGAUUACAUGUCGUCUUUGGAUGCAAUGUCUAGUUAUCAUCAAAUCCCAAUGUACAGGUCGGAUGAAGAGAAGACCUCAUUCAUAACCGAAGAUGGGACUUACUGUUACAGAGCUUUGCCUUUCGGGCUGAAAAACGCUGGGGCAACCUACCAAAGACUGAUGAACAAAAUCUUCAAAGAGUAGAUCGGUAGAAACGUAGAAGUUUAUGUAGACGAUAUGGUGGUCAAGAGCCUAACUUUCCAACAGCACGUGGCAGAUCUGAAGGAGGUGUUUGGAGUAUUAGAUCAGUACAGAAUGAAGUUGAAUCCGGCAAAGUGCGCCUUUUUCAUCAGAGGAGGAAAAUUCCUGGGGUACAUGGUGAGUGGGAAAGGCAUCGAGCCCAAUCCGGAGAAAGUAGCAGCCAUAUUAAAUAUGUCAGAACCAACCUGCGUAAAGAAUGUCCAGAAACUGACAGGGAGCGUAGUAGCACUCAAUCGAUUCAUGUCACGGUCGGCAGAAAAAUGUUUACUGUUCUUUAGAAAAUUGAGGAAAGUGCCAAACUUCGAAUGGAUAGAAGAUUGUCGUGAAGCCUUCAAAGAACUCAAAAGUUAUCUCAGCUCGCCUCGUGUGCUCAGCAGCCCCAUAGAAGGUGAAGAACUUUUGAUAUACCUGGUAGCCUCUGAACAAGCAGUUAGUGCCGUAUUGGUAAGGGUGGAAGAAGGGGAACAGAAGCCUGUUUUCUAUGUCAGCAAGGUGCUUAGAGAUGCCGAGGUCAGAUACCUGAACAUUAAGAAAAUAGCGUACGCUCUAUUGCUGGCAGUCCGGAAGUUCAGGGUUUACCUAGAAAGCCACCAAGGAGUAGUGAUGACUGAUCAACCAUUGAAAAAGAUUCUACAUAGACCAGAGACCUCAGGUCGGAUGCUCGCAUGGUCCCUCGAGAUUAGCCCAUACUGCCUGGAGUACCGACCUCGAACAGCUAUAAAAUCUCAAGCCCUUGCCGAUUUCAGAGCAGAAUGCACGUUCAGUAAGGAACAAGGGGAAUCAUCUUCCGAAGCAGCGAGAAUGGAGAGGAAGGAAGACCCUUUCCAAAAGUUCAAUUGGAAGUUAUACGUAGACGGGGCUUCAGGCGCUGGAGGCAGCGGUGCAGGAAUCAUGCUCAAGGGGCCUGGAAACUUUAAGGUUUGCUAUGCCCUACGCUUAGAAUUCCAGGCUUCCAAUAAUGCGGUGGAGUAUGAAGCCCUAAUAAACGGAAUGAUGGUGGCAAUGGAGGUAGGGUCAACCGACCUCGAAGUAAAUAGCGACUCACAACUGGUGGUCAAUCAGGUUACUGGGGCGUAUCAGGCUAGGGAUCCAACCAUGCAGAGUUAUCUGGCAAAAGUAAAAGCAAUAGAGGCCGAGUUCAUAGAUCAGGGAGUUACCAUCAAAUUCCAAAGAAUACCACGAGAAGAGAAUGAGGAAGCCGACCUGCUCAGCCGAUUGUCCAAAGAAGAGCUAGAACAGCUCCCUAAUGAAGUAUACAUACAACAUGUUCUCGUGCCUGCUUUUAGUAAAACUAACACGGUGUUGCAGGUGGAACAAAGCCCAACUUGGAUGACCCCAUACCUAGAGUACCUGGAGAAGGGAAAACUCCCUGAGGAUAAAGAGGAAGCCAAGAAGAUAGCAACUCGUGCUGCCAAUUACCAAGCAGUAAGAGGGACCUUGUACAAAAAAGGCAAGUCCAGUCCAUGGCUCCGGUGUGUGAGCCCGGAGGAGGCUAUAAGGGUGAUGGAAGAGAUACACAGGGGAGUAUGUGGAGCUCACGAAGGGGCAGAGACGUUAGCCCAUAAAAUAUUCAGGCAAGGAUACUACUGGCCCACCGUUAAAAGGGAAGCAGAAGAGUUCGUCCAAAGGUGUGACGUAUGCCAAAGAUUCGCUAACACCAUCAAGGUUCCAGCCACUCCACAAGCCAGCAUAUCCAGCCCAUGGCCGUUCUCACAAUGGGGAAUAGACAUCCUGGGACCUUUCCCCAAGACCACGGGGCAGAAAAAGUUCGUAGUAGUGGCUGUAGAAUACUUCUCAAAAUGGCCAGAGGCAGAAGCAAUAGCCACAAUCACAGCUCGCAAGAUGAUAGACUUUGUAUGGGGAAACAUUAUCUGCAGAUUUGGUAUACCAAGAGUGCUUAUCUCAGACAACGGCAGACAGUUCGACUGUAAUACCUUCAAAGUAUUUACAGCAAACAUGGGCAUAUGGCACAAAUUCUCUUCCGUGGCCCAUCCCCAGACUAAUGGCCAAACAGAGGUUACUAAUAGGGCUAUCCUCCAGGGAUUAAAGAAGCGGCUGGAUGGAGCAAAAGUGAACUGGGCGGAAGAGCUCAACAGUAUCCUGUGGGCACUUCGGACUACCCCCAUAACGUCCACUAAAGAAACACCUUUUGCACUUGCCUACGGCACAGAGGCUAUAGUCCCAGUGGAGUUGCAGAUCCCUACUCAUCGAGUCCAAUUCGUUAGUGAGAACACUAAUGAUGAUAAGUUAAGGAGCAACCUGGAUGCUCUCAAAGAAAUUAGAGAAAAGGCUCAAAUCCGAACUGCCGCUUAUCAGCAGCGGGCAGCACGAUAUUACAACCAAAAGGUCAGAGAAAGAAACUUGAAAGUAGGAGACCUAGCCCUGAGAAACCUGGAGGCUACGGGAAAAAGAGCGGCGGUAGGCAAGUUGGCACCGACCUGGGAAGGCCCAUUCCGGGUAACAAAAGUAGUCAAACCAGGAGUAUAUCGAAUUGAAGAUAUGAAGGGAAACCCCGAGCCCCAUGCUUGGAAUAUCCAACACUUGAAGAGGUAUUUCCCUUGAAACAUUNNNNNNNNNNNNNNNNNNNNNNNNNNNNNNNNNNNNNNNNNNNNNNNNNNNNNNNNNNNNNNNNNNNNNNNNNNNNNNNNNNNNNNNNNNNNNNNNNNNNNNNNNNNNNNNNNNNNNNNNNNNNNNNNNNNNNNNNNNNNNNNNNNNNNNNNNNNNNNNNNNNNNNNNNNNNNNNNNNNNNNNNNNNNNNNNNNNNNNNNNNNNNNNNNNNNNNNNNNNNNNNNNNNNNNNNNNNNNNNNNNNNNNNNNNNNNNNNNNNNNNNNNNNNNNNNNNNNNNNNNNNNNNNNNNNNNNNNNNNNNNNNNNNNNNNNNNNNNNNNNNNNNNNNNNNNNNNNNNNNNNNNNNNNNNNNNNNNNNNNNNNNNNNNNNNNNNNNNNNNNNNNNNNNNNNNNNNNNNNNNNNNNNNNNNNNNNNNNNNNNNNNNNNNNNNNNNNNNNNNNNNNNNNNNNNNNNNNNNNNNNNNNNNNNNNNNNNNNNNNNNNNNNNNNNNNNNNNNNNNNNNNNNNNNNNNNNNNNNNNNNNNNNNNNNNNNNNNNNNNNNNNNNNNNNNNNNNNNNNNNNNNNNNNNNNNNNNNNNNNNNNNNNNNNNNNNNNNNNNNNNNNNNNNNNNNNNNNNNNNNNNNNNNNNNNNNNNNNNNNNNNNNNNNNNNNNNNNNNNNNNNNNNNCUCCCGGAGCAUGAAGACCGGGAUCCCCUAGAACUCCCGGGAAAACAAAAAAGACAAAUCCUAAGUUACUAAUGAAAAAUCAAAUUCCGACCUCCCGAAAGAGCUCGGGGCAAAAUAGCCAAGAGCGUCACAGCCCCAGGCCAAUCUCCAAAAGCGAGCUCGGUACAACAUUAACCUCACAAAUCAACUUCUAGUGCUGAGUUAGCUAGCCUAGAAAGAGGUCCGAACUGCAACGCGUCCGGACAAUACUCAGAAGUAUAGGACGAGCUGCAGAUUGCAGGUAUAAAAGCCUAAAGCAAAAAAGCGAAGAACCGACCUCCUAGCUCGGAUAGUUUUGCAAUAUGUGACAUUCGGAAGGAUGGAUACGGGCAAAAGAGCGCGUUCCUAGCUCGAGCCAAUUGGUCUUAAGCAAGACAUAAACAAAAUGGAGUUCGGGGACAAAAUCCGAGGGGUUAUCCCAAAAUAUUAAAAAACCUCGAUGAAGAAAGGGGUGAAGGGGAAGGUCAGACCAAAAUCCCUCUGUUUAAGAAAGAAGACUAUGCGAAGAUCCCUCUGGGGAUCUACCAAACCAGGAGGGGCAGGUUCUGGAAGAACUAUCCUUUCAUUCCGAAGAGGAGCGCGAAUAAGGUAAAGAGGAGUAUCUAAAUAACUCCGAGAAAUAUACUUGGUUAUGGAGGAAGGAGUAAUGUGCGACUCGACAUUGACAACAUCGGGAAGAUUAGAAUCCUCCAUGGAAGAGUAAAAGAGCGUACCUGAAAAGCAAUAAGGUCAAGAAGGCAGAAGAGGUCGAAGGAAAACAGAGAGCAGACGAGAACAAGUUUCUUCGAGAGAUAAAGAGAAUUCGGAAGGAAAGGCAAUAAUGAAACGCAAUGUCACUCUGAACAAUUUUGUUUUGGAGCGGCGCGGUCAUUAAUUACUCUCGAAGUUUACCCCCUCAUCAGUUAUAUAAUAACUGACGCGAAGGUAAAGGGGCAAUAAUCGAAGGUAAAGGGGCAAUAACCGACGGCCGCUGGACUUCGCCACCUCUAUUAAGGGUUGGGCCCACGGCAAUGGCCCAUCACCCGAAAGCAAUUGACGGAUAGGCCCAAAAGCCCACAUGCCAUUUGCAUAGAACAAAUCCAACUCGCUCAAACCGCAAGACCGGGCUCCACUUGGACCUCUCGCCCGAUGAUAGAGACCGGCCUUGUUCAUUACCUACGUAGGUCGGAAGCUUGGCUCAUAGGUUAAAAGCAAAGCUCAGGGUUACGACUGAUCCAGCUCGGGAAAAGAUAAAUAGAAAGCUCAAAGACACAAACAAAUGAAAGCACGAUAAAGACCAGCCCUGCUUAUUACCUAAGAAGGUCAGGAGCUCGGCUCACAGGAUUAAAACAGAGCUCACGAGUACGACUAGUACAGCUCGGAAAGAAGUAAGUCAAAAGCUUAGUUGGCCGAAUAAACUCUAGUUCUAAACGAUUAAAGGGGCAAAAAGGAGAAAGCAAUACGGCAGAUCUAUUGGGAAAAGUUAUGGAGCAAGCAAUCUAAGUACUUCAGUUAUGAUAAAGAAAGAACAGUUCGAGUAUGAACGCAAAACAAAAAUUUCAUUAAAAGAAAAACACAUUACAACAUGUCACAAAUACCAACACUACAGACUAAAAGGCUAUCCUUAAAAGAUUUACACGCCCAGAUACAUCAUCAUCUACGUUUACAUCACUAUCGCCUACCCUACUAUCUUAGCUUUUGGUUCCGAGGAAUUCUUAUAGUUCGGAAAAUCGACUUCGUAAACCAACUAAGCUCCGCCUCGAGAUGUGAUUUGCGGUACAUACGAACGAGCUCAGAUAUUAUAUGCCGAUCUCAUGAAAAACAUAAGUCUUCGAGUUAAAGUCCCAGGGAGAUCGGCAGCAUUACCCGUCCACCUGCCCGAAGCACCAACAAAAAACCAGCAAGGUAUUCUGAAGGGCAAUGGAACAAGUGAAGGCAACACCAGAAAAUUAGCGAAACAUUCUGAAGAACAAUGGAACAAGUUGAACUUCCAACAUUGUAAAACAUAUGCGGAAAGACAUCAUCAGGAGAUAGGGCAAACUCUGAUCCUGUUGACCUGAAAUUCGCGAUCGAUCUCAAAGUCCGAGAGGACCUAAAAGUUCGAACAAUCGAAACAAUUAAGACUGACUCGACACAGGUGUACAGUCUUGAAGAUUCGAAGCCUCGAGAGCUCGGCAUGGAGGCCCGAGCUGGGGCAAGGGAAGAGCAAACCAUCAAGAAGAGAAAUCUUGUUGUUUUGUUAACAAUCCCAAAGAUAAGAAGGAAAGGUUAGUAAUAUAUAAUCAGAGGCUAACCCUUUAAUGUGAGACAGAUCGACUUCAUACUCUAGGUCAGUAGCAUCAGAAUCCUUAAAGGUUAUUCACCAAAAAGGAAAGAAAAUGUACCGGGAAGAUAAAAGUAAGAAAACGAGGGUAACAGCACGCACAAAUGGCAGAGGAAAGCUAAAUAUAGAAAAAGACAGAGAAGAUUUAAAGCUGCAAGUGGCAAUAAGAUGAAAGGGCAAUCCGAAUUUCAACAGACACAGUCAUAAUGAUUCUAGGGGUUUACCCCCUCGACCGUUGGAGCAAUAACUGCCGAGAAGGUAAAGGAGCAAUUGAUGACCCCUGAGUUCACCUCAUCCCCGUCUAGGGCUAGGCCCAUGAAAAUAGCCCACUGCCCAAAGAUUCUCAAGCCAUUCACGCCAAUUGGGUUCAACCCACUAAGCCUCAUGACCAGGUUCAUCCAGCUCCCCUCAUCAGGCCGGACACGCAACAUCUACUCCUUAGGCCGAUUCCGUUUAGGCCCUGCUCUACUCUCACUCUCCGGCCCAGCCCAAAACCCGAAAGAGGAUCCGUCCACUCAUCUUGUAGACCCGCCUACCCGACCCUGGAGAGGAUCAGAGGCCGUUAUGCAUGGGGCAGAGAUAUGAUUCCUUCGUACGUCCGUAUCAGCGUGGUAGGGACAGGUGGUCUACUGAUAUUCGUUCUAUCGGCACGUCACUAGCGGACAAAAGAAAACCUAUAAAAGGAGAAAUGCUCUCUUCUAGGUUUAAACUUUUUCUAAGUUUACAGAGCCCAUUGUAAAACCCUAUUUCUCUGGAUCUCAGAUCAUCAACUUUCACACACAAAUUUAUUUGAUUAAUAAAUCACUCUGAUAGUCUUUUUCCUUUUCUUAAUAAUAUAUUCUUUCUCCACCAUUCUAAUUAUAUCUAUAAUACAAAAAUAUAAAAUAUUUUUCAUAUUUUAUUAUGUUUAAAGCUUUAGAAAAAUUCAUCACUGUAAAAUAUCUUUUCUAAUAAAGAUGACCUUAAAAUUUUGAAAAUCUUAUUCAUACUGAUAAUUUAAAUGCAUAGUGUGGAAUUUAGGUGCUGCAAAUAUUACUAUUUUGUUACAGGAUGGCAAAAUUUUCUUGUCUUUCCAACUAUUUAUAGAAUUGUUGUUCUCCAAGUUAAGCAAUACUGGACUGAGUCGGCAAUAGCUUCCCAAUAUUUUAAUUUUAUUCUAAUAAAAUUAAUUAAAAGUGUAAGUUAAUUCAAUUACAGGCUAAUUAAGUCUUUAUUUGUUUGUUAAUAAUUUUAAUUCAAGUAUUUUGUUUAUUUUUUUUUUAGUACAAGAGACCUACAUUUAUUCAAUAGGAUGUUUCUAUCAUUUUUUUUUUCUCUAAACACAAAAUAGAAAUGAAAUCUCCUUUUAUUUUUUUUUUUCACAAUAAAAAUUUUUGAGAAAUUAAAUCAAUAAAAAAUUUCGAAUUCGAGUCUCGUAUGUAGAUAACUUUUAAAUCCAAGCGCUUUAUAUCUUUAAUGAACAUAUUUAGUGUGAAUUCAAAUUAGUCGAGUCAAUAAAUAUCAUAUAUCAUAUCGUUGUAUAUAUAUAUAUACUCACAAAAUGUUCAUGCACAUAAACUAGAAGAGUUAGUAUGUAGUUGUUACUAAUAUUGCAUUUGAAUAAAUAUUAUAUUUCUAUGAUUAUAUAUCUGAUGCAAUCAAUAAGAUAUAUGUAUGAUACUGAUUUGUUUUCUUCUUAAUUAAUGAAGGGAAUGAGAACUUCUUGGAUUUUAUCCUAUGUAAGAUCUCUAUCUCCGAUCAUAUAAUAUGUAAUCAUGUUUAAAUAAUUGUUACUUGUUUUACGAGCAGCAACAUUAGUAAUUAAAUUUCUCUACAUUCACUUUAUGCAGGGAUGCUCCAAUGGUCUUUGACUUUUUUUGGUAAGAACUCCUUCCAUUAAUGAAUUAGGAACAUAGUUACCUAUUUAUAUGAAGAGACAAAUUGAAAAUCUGCAACAUAUGAAACCUAGCUAACUUUAUCUUACGUUUUUGGAAGCACAUCUCUCACAUUUCUUAGGUAAAAUUUUAACAGCAAUAACUAAUUAAUGAGUUUCCCUUUGUUGAAUAUGAUCCCAUAAUUUUAUCCAGCAAUGUGUUUGGUUGCAAGAGCUUUCUGUGGGGCUCCAUGUGUGAUUGCAUUUCUUAUUUAUAAAUGGAGAAGAAGACAUCUAUCUGGAUAUGAAACAAUUGAAGAAUUCCUCCAGAGUCACAAUAACCUUUUGCCAAUAAGGUAUUCUUAUUCAGACAUUCGAAAGAUCACUAGAGGUUUCAAGGAAAAGUUGGGUGAAGGAGGCUUUGGUUUUGUAUAUAAAGGAAAACUUCGUAGUGGUAAAUUUGCAGCAAUAAAGAUGUUGGGUAAAUCUAAAGCUAAUGGACAAGAUUUUAUCAAUGAGGUUGCUACAAUUGGGAGGAUCCACCAUACCAACAUAGUAAAAUUAAUUGGUUUUUGCGUUGAGGGAUCAAAGCAUGCUCUUGUAUAUGAAUUUAUGUCUAAUGGGUCUCUUGAUAAUUAUAUUUUUUGUCAAGAAGGACCUAUUUCUUUGAGUUGGGAAAAGUUAUAUGAGAUAUCACUUGGAGUGGCACGAGGCAUUGAGUAUCUACAUCAAGGUUGCAAUAUGCAAAUCCUUCAUUUUGAUAUCAAGCCUCAUAACAUCCUUCUUGAUGAAAAUUUCACUCCAAAAAUUUCUGAUUUUGGGUUAGCUAAGCUUUAUCCAACUAAGGGAAGCAUUGCAUCUCUUACAGCUGUAAGGGGAACAAUUGGAUACAUGGCACCAGAGUUGUUCUACAAAAAUAUUGGGCGUGUUUCACAUAAAGCAGAUGUAUACAGUUUUGGAAUGUUAUUGUUGGAAAUCGCAGGAAAAAGGAAAAACCUAAAUGCAUUGGCAGAAAAUUUGAGUCAAGUUUACUAUCCAUUCUGGGUUUAUGACCAACUCUCAAGUGGAAAGUUAACAAUAGAAGACUCAUCAGAGGAGGAAAAUAUUUUAGCUAGGAAAAUGAUUAUAACGGGAUUAUGGUGUAUACAGAUGCAACCUUGUAAUCGUCCUCCAAUGAACAAAGUACUAGACAUGCUUGAAGGAGAUUUCAAAAGCCUAGAAUUGCCCCCAAGGCCUGUUCUAUAUCCUGUAGAAUCAAUGACUAUAGAUGAAGGAGAAUCAUCAUCAACGUCAAGUGAAGUAAAAUAGAUACAGAAUAUUGCUUGGUUGAAAGAGAUGGUAAAAUGUUCUGAAACUUCUUUUACCUUUAUAAAUUGCUCUAUAGAGUUAGUGAUGACUUGAUGAUAUGUUGUAAUAAUUCUAUGUGUUUAACUUGUUGAGUUUAAGCUACUCCUAGUUACAUAAUCUUUCAAUGUAUGAUAAUGCAUUUGCAUUUUGCUUCAGUAUUUGUUGAGUUUGAUUUUCCUUUGUGGAUAUUGCUCCUGUAAUCCAAGUCCUUAAUCAUGGUAGAUCCCCUAUAGGUCCUAUCACAAUUAUUGGUUAAUAUUCAAUCGUUAUACAUAUAGCGAUUAUAUUUAUGUUCUUAGAAAUUUUUGUAUAUAAUUAUUAUAUACACAAUGAUUAAUAUUUUACUAUAUAAUUAUUUAUAUUAGAGAUAUGCCGUUUAGAUUUUUGAAUAAUGCUAACAAAGAUAUAUAGCCAUUAAAAUUUCAAAGUAGAUAAAAUUUCAAAAAUCAAAGACAUACAUAUAUACACAUAUAUGAAGAACUGUUAGAAUCCUUACUUAUUGCAAAUGGUAAGAAUAUACCAUCAAUAAGAAUAUAAUCUUCUAUAUAUAUUUAUUUCAUAUGUUUUAUUUUCUCUAAUCACUUAUUUAAAUUAGAUUUUCUAAGUUAAAUUUUUUACUUUUUGCCACUGAUAAUACAUGUCCUUAGUAAAUAACAUAAUUUUCUCAUAUUAAACAAAAUAUAAUCGUUAAUUAAUAUAUUUUUAAUAAUUUUAAGAAAAAGUGCUAAAGUAAUGUAAAAUUUUACUUAUUUUUAUUUUAGUUUUUAUAAUUUAAUUUUAUCUAAGUAGUAUUUCAUUAUUUGUUUGUUUCAUCGACAUUUUCUGAUGACAUUUAAAAAUCAUUCGUUAUUUACUAAUGGUACAAGAUACUGUUUUGAUAAAAAUUAAAGUAUAAAUAUCCUAAAAUAAAAAAUCGAUGAAAUUAAAGAAAAUUUUCUUUUUAUUUUUCUCCCUAAUUUAAUAGCACUUCUCAUAAAAUUGCAUUUGAAAUUUUUAAUAUAUAUUUUUUUCUCCAUAAUAAUAUAAAUAUGUAAACUAUUUAAUAUGAAAUAAUGAAACAAAAACAAAUCAAUAAAUAAAUUAUUUACAAUUUUUAAAUUAUAUAUAUAUUUUAAAGUUUGUUAAUACGCGACAUGAUGAUCUUUAAUAAAAAAUUUUAAUUACGAAUGAUAUAAUUUUUUAAGUUGGUUAAUAUGCAAACGGCACGUGCUUUAUUUUUUAAAAGAAAUAAAAGAAAAAUUACUAUUUAAUUUUUAGUAUAAAACAAUUCAGUAGUUAGUUUUAUUUUUAAUUUUUAAAAAUAUAUUAAAAUGCACGUCUAACAUUUUAAAAAAUUUACUAGUUAGUCUUUUUAUUAUUUUUAGUUAUUAAAUAUUUAAAAAAAUCUAAAAUGCCCUUAAUACAUAGGAUUAAUAAUAAACUUUUUAUAAAAUUGAGAGACCCAAUUAAUAAAUUUUUUUUAAAUCACAUAGACUAAAAAUAGUAAAAUAGUAAAAUGCUUAGUAACUAAAACAAAUAACAUAACUAUUUAAGAAGAUAUAUUUCUUGUAAUAUAGGAUUAAAUACUAAAUUUCUUUUUUUAAAUAUUAAUUUAAUGUAUUUUGGUGAAAUAAAUAAUAAAAUUUUGAAAUAGCAGUUGUUUUUUUAUAACUAAUAUAAUUUUUUUAAUUAAAAUUAAUAUAACUUUAUAUAGAUCGCAUACAUUUUUGCACCUUUAAACUUUAUUAAAACAAAUUGUAUCAUAUUUGAACUACCUAAAAGUAGAAUUAAUCUUUUAAUCCCAUUACCAAAUAGUGUGAAUUUUCUAAAACAUUCUUAGAUCACUUUGAAUCCAGGGAAAAGUCUUUUUGAAUGUACAAAAUUUAUAGAGUAAGUUUUGUUUACAAAAUUUUCAUAUUGUGUAUAAUUUUUUUAUUAAGAUAUUGAGACUCAAAUCUAGGUCUACUAAUGCUGAACCAAUUCAGAUUAGGUUAUUAAAUGGUAGAUAAUGAAUUUAGACAAUAACUUGUAGAUCAUAAAUACAUGUUCGCAUAUAACACUUUUACAUUUUAAUGUACUAUGAAGAUUUUUUUUUUCAAAUGAAGUUUAGAAAUACAAAGAUGUAUUUAACCAUUUUGUAUAUAAUUUAAUUUUUAACAGCAGAUUAUAUAAGUUUUUUUUUUAUAGCAUUUGAUAUAAUACAAAUUUGAAUAUGAAAAUUUCAUAAUUCUAAAAUUAUGCAUAAAAAAUUAAGAUAAUGAUACGGAGCAAUUAGUCUUAAAUUUUACGACAGAUUUGAAGCAGACUUAAUUUUAGAGAAUCAAUUUUGUAUUUUAAUUAUUUUUUUGGAUAUUUUUAUAAUUUUGCAUAAUAGAGUUUUUUCUAUUAUAAAUAGCCUUUUCUUGGCUAUUUGAGAUACUUUUUAAUUUUUCAAGAAUUUCAAUAAGACUUUUUUGGAUUCUAGGCUCUCGUUUCAAUUAUUUCUUCUUAACCAAACGUUAUUGGUUAAAACUCCCUGAUGGAGUCUAAUCAGUCCUAUAUCAGAUUAGUAUCAGAGAGAAGUUCGUCCAUGGCAAACAACCAAGAGGCGCGACUUAUUGCGAUUGAGGCAUCCUUGGUAGAAUUGAGGGAGAUGAUCGGACAGUUAGCCCUGUAGCAGGGAAUCCACCAGACCGUCGCAGUCGAAUGUCCCCAGCCAGUUCUAAAUCCUAUGGUCGCCAAUCCUGUGCCUAGGGAUAAGUAAUCGGUGGGUUCGAUUCAAAAUCGAACUGAAUUGAAUAAACCAACAAUCAAAAUUUUAGUAUUUAUAAAAACUGAACCGAAUCAGUUUUAGUCAGAAACUGAAUCGAACUGAAUCGGUCUAAUUCAGUUUGAUUUCAUCGAUUUGAAUUUUUAAUAUUUUUUUUUAUUUUUUACACUUUAUUUUUAGUAUUUUAAAGUUUAAUUGGAAUAUUUUAACUUUAAUAUGAUCUAAUCUCUCUAUAUUAUUGAAAAUAAUAUACUAUUAUCACAAAUCGGUUCGAUUUUUUAAAUUUUUUCUGAUCAAAACUGAAUCGAACCAAAAUAACUGAAAUUUUAGAAAUUAAAAACUGAAUCAAAUAGAAAUAAAUAAAAAACUGAACUGAAUUUUUAAAUCAAUUCAGUUUGGUCGGUUUUUCCGGUUUGAACCGAAUACUGCUCACCUCUACCUGUGCCUGCAAAUCCCCAACAGAAUUAUCAAGAAAGUUACAAGAAAAAGAUAGACCUUCAAAAUUUUUCUGGUUCGUUGGAAGUAGAAUCUGUUCUUUAUUGGUUGGCGGAGGUUGAACAUUUCUUCAAGUUAUGAACAUGGAAGAGGAUCGAAAGGUUCCGAUUGUGGCUUAUAAAUUAAAAGGGGGUGCAGCAGCCUGGUAGAAUUCGGUUCAAAACGAACACUAUUGGAGGAGGCUAGAACCCAUAUGAAACUUGAUGUUGAUGAAGCAAAUGAUUGAACAUUAGUUCUUGCCUAGAAAAACCAAAAAAGAGAAAGAGGAGGUGAUCAAAAGAGAUAAUUUUUUACUUUUAGAACAGUCUUUAUAUAAGCUUUUUUCAAAUAAAAAGAUAAUUGUUGGACCUAAAUGUUCUAAUUCUUGUUUUGAUAACUAAUAAAUAAUUGGUGAGCUACUAAUUAUCUUUAAAAGUGUUUGUGUUGAGCUUGUAGGUCUCUUAUUAAAAUAAAUGAAAUCGCUUCAGUUUCAAGAAUGAAAAGUAUUAAAUUUGAAAGCAUACCACAAGAAAGGGAUCAGAAUGUAAUUUUUAUUUUAUGCAAUGUCAAUUUCAAUUAAUUAAUUGUGAUGGCUCAAGUUUUCUUUUAAUAUUAAAAGUUUAUAAAUAUGGCCAAGUUUUAAGUAAUUGACUUUGAGGGACCAAAAUGAAAAUUUUCAAAAUGAGUGAUUUUGAAAUUAUUUUUAUCAAAAUAAAAUAUCUCAAAAUAUAGGUUGAAAGAAUUCAAACGGAUUGAAAAAUAGAGUUUCAUAGCCUAGGUUACGAUUUUUCAAAGAUUUAAUGAAAUAUUUUUGUGCCUCCUAAAGUCAAAUGUUCGGCUUCCGAAAGUAAAGGACAUAGGCAAAAGUCCCAAAUGUUCGGUCGUCGAAUAUGGACUUUAGGCCGCCGAAAGUCUGUUUUUAAUAUGCCCCUUGAAGUGAAACUUUCGGCUUCCGAAAGAGAAGGGACAGAAGCAAAAGUCCAAAAUAUUCGACCGCCGAACAUGGACUUUAGGCCGCCGAAAGUCUGUUUUCAAUAUGCCCCCUAAAGUGAAACUUUCGGCUUUUGAAAGAGAAGGGACAGAGGCAAAAGUCAAAAAUGUUCGGCCGCCGAACAUAGACUUUAGGCCGUAGAAAGUCUAUUUUCAAGAAGUUGUUCUUCACCUUCAAAAGUUCGGCCGCCAGACUUUAACCUUAGGCCGUCGAACCUAAGUUUUUCUAAGUACGACAUAACGGUUAUUUCUAUAUACAAACGACUCUAUUUAUAUUUAAUACAUCCCCAACGGCUAUAUUUAUGUUAGAACUAUAAAUAUAAUGUGUUUUUGAUCUGGAAGUAGUUACAACAACCAUUCAAGCAUACAAUUAUUGAGAUUAAAGCCUUUUUCACUCUCUCUCUCUCAAAACUUUGAGCCAUAGCAUUAAUUUCUUGAAAGUUUGCCUUGAGUUGUAAUUGGUUUGUGUUUUAAGAUUGAGUGAAGGUUGUUGAGUGAAUUUAUUAUAGUGGGUGUGAUUUUGAGCAAAGGAUUGCUAUUGUGAGAAAAAUAGAAUUAUAAAUGGUAAGGGUUUUGCUCUAGAAUUGUAAGGAGUUUUAAUCUUCACCCAAAAAAGAUUUGAUAGUGGAGUUGAACUCUCAAGGAGGGUCUUGAGGAGAGGACGUAGGCUUGAGAUGAUUGAACCUCUAUAAAUCAUUGUGUUGAUUAUUCUCUUCCUUCCUUAUUCCUUUUUAAUUUGUGCUUUUACCUUUUAAACAUUUUUUAUAAACCCAAUUCACCCCUGUUGGGUUACUUCAAGGGACAAUAAUAAUUAUUCACAAUUUAAAAAAAAAAGUAAAAUAAAUCUACUACUCCUAUGAUGACUCUUAUCCUAAUCCUGAUCUGAUUGUGUUUGCAUCUAUCUGAAAUAGUUUUGAACUUUGUACAGCUGGCAAAACCGAAAUCCUAGAAUCUAUGCGUCGGUUUGGAUUACAGUCUUGAGUAAAAUUAUACCUUCCAGUUAGAAAAAACUCUAAAAUGGUCUCUCUCGGUUCUUUUUCUCAUUUUCAGCUCAAAGCCUAUCCCAAAAUUAAAUUCCAAGCAAAAAUCAAUUGUUUAUAUCAAAAUCAUAGCAAAAUCAUGGACUUUAAUAUGGAAAAAGUGGUAAGUUUUGCAACUCAUCAAUCAUACAUGUAACUUGCACAUCAUCAUCAAUAUAACGAAUGUACUAAAUCUUAACAACGUUACUAGCAUUCUCAUUAGGAAUACUAGGAGCUUCUUGAUCGAUAACAUACAACCUCUUUGGAGAACAAUUCUCAAAAUGCGAUAGCGGUCCAAGAAGUUCAAUUUAGUUAAUUUGUUAGCAUCAAGUAUACUACAGUGGGAUAAAUAAUUACUCAUGGUGGAAUUAGAUUUUCAUGUAGAGAUAUUCAAUUAUUAGUCUCAUGUAUUUUUCUAAUUAUUAGAUAAUGUCUUUAAUCUUUAAUUAGUCUCCCAUUAUUUUAUUCAAAUUAAUAGCCCUAUCUAUUAAUUAAGAAAAUUCAGUGGUAGAUCUCCUAGUAGGCUAGGAUCCCAUUUAAUUUAAAUAACUUUGAAUUUGCCUAACAAAUUAUUUUAAAUUAAAUUAGGUAGAUAACAUAAUUUAUCAAUCACAUCUCUAUGUGACUCCUAGAUCAGUUAGAUGACAACUCUUUGUCUUUGUCAUAUAUGUUAUGCCUAACUCUUACCCUAAACUUACAUGAUCAUGGGUUUGCUAUCCAAAUCAAGUAAUUUAGUUAAGUAGAACCAUUGUUUAGAAAUAUCAAAUAUUUCAUACCAUUAAACAUAUUCGGGUGAAAUUAACCUUGAAUUUGCCUAACAAGUUAAUAAAAACUGAACUCUAAUUUUAUGCUAUAACAAUAGGAGAUAAGUCAUCAUGUUCUUAACAUUUACUUAAAAUUUUAAUUAGGGAUUUUAAUCCUAAGAUUUCUAUUAAAGUCUCAUGCAUAGGUAUUGUUGUUGUAUAGCAUACAUAUCACAUAUAUAAACAUACACCCUGUAAUACCCGGCUAGACUCUGGUAUCGGAAUUCCUACCUUCCGGCGGAAUCUCCGUUGGAAUCUAGAAUUUCUCAGAUGUCGGAGCCUUCUAGAAGGGUAAGAUAAAGGUUUUGUAAAAUGUUUUUAUAUGUUUUUAUGGUUUUUACGAAGAAAUAAAUUGAGUUUUGAAAGAGAAGACCAAGGAGGAAAAUGCCAGGUUCGGCCGCCGAACCUCAUGUUCGGCCGUCGAACAUUGAUCUCUUGCGGAGGCACCUUUCGCCCCAGAAGGUGGUCUGGCCAGGCAUCUAUAAAAGGCCUCUUGUCUGAAAAUGGGCGAGUUUUCUCUCUCUAUUUUCAGACAUAGGUGAGAUUCCGUCCUCCCAUAGUUGAUUUUGUGUUUUCCUUCAAUUCCUUCAAGUUUUAAUGAGUUUUUACUUGGUUUUUGAAGAUUUUGAGCUAAAGAUCAAAGUUUGGAAGCUUGGAGACCCCCAGAGCUCGUUCCUCCAUAUCUCCAAGUUUGGGAUCGCACCUCCUCUCGAUCUUCAAGAGGUAAGUAUAGAUCCUCCUCUCCUUCCAUGUUUUAAGUAAGUUUUAAGAAGGGGUUAUGGGUUUUGAUGCAUGUUUAGAGUAGAUGGAUAAUGUUAGGGUUUAUGUUAGUUUUAUGCUCAAAUGUAUGCUAUGAUGAUGUUUGUUGGGGUUUAGGCUAGUUUUAAGCCCCUAAAUGCUUGAAUAUAUGUUUAUGCAUGCUUUUGUGUGAGUUGGUUGCAUGUUGGGGUGUUGUGGAUGGCCGGAAAUGCAAGGCAGAAUCGGGUUCUGCCCUUUGGGAGAGCCCAGGUUCGGCCACCGAACCUGCCUGGAGGCAGCUUUAGGCCGCCUAAACUCGCCCCCGAAAGUUUAGAGUUUCGGCUCUGGAGGGGAGUUUCGGCCGCCGAACCUGCCGCCGAAGGUUGUGACUUUCGGCUCUGGAGGGACCUUCGGCCGCCAAACCUGCCACCGAAAGUCCCCUGCCCAGCCUCCCUUUGCUUGUUUUGCAUGCAUGUUUUAUGAUGUUUUAAGGGGGUUUUUAGGGAGAUGUUUAGAGUUAUAUUAGAGUUUGUUUGGUCCCUCAUUUGAGUCCACCUGUGUAGGAUCGGACCCGAGGAACCGAGAAGGCCAGCAGGGUUAGCUGUUUCAGAGUCGGUCCAGCGUCAGCCAGAGGUGAGUAGAACACAACUCUACUUUAUUUCAAAACAACUAAAAUUUUAAGCAUAUUCAUGCAUCACGAUUGCCAUGUUUAUAGGUUGUUGCAUUAGAAUUCACGAAUAUGAUGCAUUGCAUAAUAUGAUGUUGUUGUGGAUGGUUAUUGAAUGAUCCAUUAGUCCUCGAGAUGAUAUGAUAUGAUAUGGUAUGAUACGGAAAUCCAGGUCGAGGCCCAUUCUACGCCCCUGGCACAGUUGGACAUGUUAUGUUAUGUUUAAGAGGAAGUCCUGAGGAGCUCCGUCGAGGGCCGGGCAUUCAUUGGAUAUGUAGAGGGCUAUUGGUGACAAUAUCAUCUUAAGGUGAUUUACUUGUGUUGUGAUGCAUUCCAUGAAAGCAUGUGAUUAUUAAACUGUUUUUAUUGUUCUACUCAUUGGGUUUUAGUAGCUCACCCCUUUCCCCUAAACUCCAGGUUUGCAGGUUCAGGAUAGACCGGAAAGUCGUCAAGGGUAAAGGCUUGUAUAUGUAAUAGUCUAGUAGUGGACAUGAAUGUAAAAUGAUGUAAUGUAAGGUAUUGUACAGAAAUGUAUUGAGGAUUAGUAUUGUGCUUGGCCCUAAUGUAUAGUAAUCCCUUUUUUGUACAUGAUCUAUAUGAAAUGUUUUAAUGAUGAGUUAUGUUGAACCAGGCUUGACAUAUGAUAUGUUGCCCCACUAGAGCAUUUGAUGAGGGCUCUAGUGUGGGGUUUUAUGUUUAUAAUUAUGGUGCAUGCACAUGUUAAGUUUAGUAUAUGAAAAAGUUUAAAGUUUUUACGCAAAUGUAUGAUUAUGUAUGGGAUUUAUCAUAUAUGACAGGAUGUAUAGUAGGCUUGCUACGGGUCCCGGCGACCUUAAGUCGAUUUGGAUCCUAGCGCCGGUAGCGGUCCGGUUUCCGGGUCGUUUCACACCCCUAACAUGUAAUUUUAAUUGGAUGAUUAUGAACAUUUUAAAAAUAAUUCCCUCGAAACAUAAAGGGAACUUGAUGGUUUUAAAACAUAGGUGGCAACUUCUUUGAUCUUCAAAAGUCCAAAAGGGCUCCUCCAAUGAUCCAUGUAAUUUUUAAUGUCUCCUUUACUAAUGUUGGAGGCUCUCAAAAGGGUUUCUGUGAGAGAUGCACAUGCUAUCAUAAUAUAUCCUUUUAUAUUAAAAUCUUAGAGUUUUAGUAUAAUAAUAUUUAUUUAUUUAUUUAACUAAUUAAAUAAAUAAAUUAUAACUAUAAUCCAGAUCUUUAAUAAAUGAGGUAUAUAAAUCCUAGACAAUUUUAGUUAAGGCCAUAUUUAUUUAAUUAUAUCAAAAUCAUAAUUUUUUCAAAUUACAAUUUUAUCCCAAUCUAAAUUUUAUCUCAAUCUUAAUUUAUAUGUACUUAAGUCCUACUUGAUUUAACUUCUUGUUUUAUUUUCUCAUACUAUUCUUUAUGGGUGUGACCCAUCAGAUUUCAAAUAUAUGGACAACAAAUAUAAUUAAAUAAUUAAUUAAUUUGAAGGUUAAGAAUAUUGUCUAGUAACAUAUUAAAAAUACCUAAAUAUUUGAAAUGUCAAAAAGUGGUUUGACUUAAUAAAGUGGUUUGACUUAACCUUUCAGUGCAUGAUUGGUUUGUAAGUAUAAUUAAUAUCCCUUCAUUACAAAUGUCUCGAUUUAACAUUUAAUGCAUGGAACAUACCUGCGAUGUUAAAUCAUAUUAGUUAUCAUUUAUUAGUCAUUGACCUAUUGAAUGGAAUUUCAAAUCUCAUUUGCGAAGAAUUCAUGAUUAAUGCUAAUAGAAGACAAAUGAGACAUUUCCUAAUUUAACCUUGGGUGAUGAAAUCUAUCUCAAUCACAUAAACAUCUUUAUACAGUUCCUAAUAUAUCUAAUUCAUUUCCAUUUAUUACUCAUGAACUAAGUAACUUAUAAGAUGAAUCAUAACAUAAAAGUCUCUAUAUGAGAUUAUUUAUUGAUUUCAAGUCAUACGAUCACUUAUAUGACCAUCACUUGAGUAAUCAAUAGACACAGGUUAUUUCCAUAUGGAUUUUUCAGACUAGUCUGUUCAGUGCACUUAUUUAUGAAAUAGAUACCUACAUAUUAGUUCUAAAUAUUUUAUACAUCUCAACUUAUGAUAUCAGUUAUUUCUUCUAAAAUGAAAUAAUAUAAUGUGUAUCCAUCUUAACAGCUCUAAUCAUUGUUCAAUCGUGAUAAAAACAUCGACUAGAAAUAUUUUGAGAUAUUAUAACUUAAAUGCAAUUGGAAUUUCACAAUUAUAACCACAUUAUAAUUUGUUUUGCACAGUAAUAUAGUCUCAUGGACUUUAUUUUUACUCGAGAUUCAAUUAAAUUAAUAUUAAAGAUAAAUAACAGUUUUUAUAAAAUGUAUUUAAAUACUUAAAAUACAUGAAUAAUAAUAUCAAAUUACAAUCAAUAUAUUGACUGUAGGUCAUAUUACUAAUAAGAUUUCCUUAAGUUUGAAUAAAUAUGCACCAAUUUGGAAUAAAAAAUUUAGAAAAAAUCAAAUUAGAAUAUAUCAUAUAAUUUAUUAUAAAUUUAACAAUAAAUUUAUUAAAAAUAAUAUAAUCUUAUUAAUAAUUAAUUAUUAAUUAAUUAAAUACAAAUAAUGUAAGAACCAAGGGAUAAUGGAUAGAGGACUUGAUAACUUAGAAAUAUGCUACAGCAAGUCAGAAUGAUUUUUGUUGAAAUGGAAUUAAAACUAAGUGAUUUUAUUGAAAUAAAUUAAGAUGAAGAACUCAAAAUUGAAUGACUAUGAAUGAAAAUUUUAUCUAUUGUUGAUAUGACUUUUCCCUUCGUUUCUUUUCCUAUUCUAAAUAGAUUAGUUUUCAACCGAUAACUAAUUAUAAGGAGAUGACAGACCUCUCAAAGUAUGAGUCUCUCACUAUUAGAGGUAGACUACACACAUCUUUCUUGGAAAGACACAUCUCUUUAAGAAAAACGCGUUUAUUUUUUAUAUAUAGAUUUUUUUUAUAAAGUAGUCAUUAUCAAUUAAUAUGGCUCAUAUGAGAGAUCAAUUUAAGAAGAGAGACACUAUUCAAGAUACCAAGUUCCUCUCAUUUUUAUUUACUUUGAUUUCUCAUGUAAUUGCCUAAAUAAUAACAAAUAUAUUUUUGUUACUGAAUUUUUUAUUUUCAUAAUUAAGAUGUUUUUUGACUUUUAUUUUUUAUUAGUUUUGUUUAAAAUAAUUCAUUUUGUCGAAAAAUUAUUUAAAUAUUUUUUUAAUUAUAUAUGAUUUACAUUUUCUUUUACUAUAUCUUUAAUCUAUUAGUUUGUUAGGUAAAUAUUUAAUAAAUGUUGAAAGCAACUAUGAUAAAUGAGUUUGAUGACUGAUGAAGAGCCACCCCUCCCAGCGGGAAAUUUACUUCAAUUAUUUAUUUAUUUUUAGGUUAUUAAUUCAUCAAAUUCAUUUACUUUGUGGCUCUCAGUGAGCCCCAAUUAUAGAAUGCCCAGAAGAAAUGUCAAUGAAAAAUAAAUGCAUACACAAUGUGGAUGUAACAUCCAUUUUUUUUAAUAAUAAUAAUUAAAAAUAAGACUAUAAUUUAUAAAAAUUUUGAAAAUAAAAUUUAAAUUUAAGUGGUCCUACUUUGAUCACAAUUAAUGAAUUGAUUUACUUAGUGGACUCUAAUGAAUUUUAGGCCGAUCUCUUUCUCCGAGACUCGAUUAGUGGACUCCAAUAGAUUUUAAAUCAUUCUCAUUUUUGGACUCAACUUUUGCUGAGUGGCAGCGAUCAUCAUUUACAAAAUUUAUUUAAUAAAAAUUUCGUGGGCUCUUGAAAAUUGGUUCACUUCCUUACUUUUCUCUCGAUCAGUUUAAUUGAUUUUUUUAAGUUUUAUAUUUAUAGUGAAAAUUUUAAUUCUUUUAAUUUAUAAAAAUUUUCAUGUAAAAAUAAAAAUUUAUAUAUAGUUUAUAAGAAUUUAAUUUUUUUUUUCUCAAAAUUUUUUUCCAAUUAAAGAGAGAAUGUUAAUUGAAUUUUAAGUUAAAAAUAAUAGUUAACAUUUUGUUAUGUGAUGUAUAAUCAUUAUAUGUAGUUUUUGAAAAUAUAUUUUAAUAGAAUAUUUUCUCAGUUUUAAAUUAAAAAUUUUACAAAAAUUUAAUUUAAUUUAAUUAAUUUUUUAUUUAAAAUAAUUUUCAUAAUUUUAUAAAAAUUUAUUAAUUUUUUAUAUAAAAUUAUUUAUACUAAACGGUCGGAUUAAAAAUAUAUUUAAAAUGAAAUGACAAAAAAUUAUAAAAAUAUUAUAGUUUGUUGUAUGACCUUUUGUCAUCCUCAGGGACAGCAUUGUCGGUGCUUGAUAGUGACUUCAUAAGAGAGAGUGGUGUUCGAAAAGUCAAAGUGGGCCAAUUUUCAAUUGAUGACUAAUGACUCAAGUUGAGCUAUCCUUUCGAAUCGACACUUAGACUAAAAAGAAAAGAAGACGAUAAAAACAUAUAAUAAAAUUUAGGAUUAAUGAUAAUUUUUUUUUUUAUUAUUUGUAACUGAAUUCUAUUUUUUUUUAUAUUUUAUUAAUUAAAUUUUAUAUUUUUUUAAUUACAUUUAAAUUUCAAAAUUUUAUUAAAAAUUAAUUAAAUUAUCACAUUUGAUAUAUUAUUAUUAUAUCAGUAAAAUUCAUAAUACAAUUAGUUAAAAUUUUAUAAAUUAAAAAUUUAUAGUUUAAUUAAAUUUUUAAAGUUUAAAACGUAAUUAUAAAUUUUUUAAAUAUGAUGAGUUCUUUAUUGUUUUUUAAAUUUAAAAUUUUAUAAUAUUAAAAAAAGAAUAAUAUAAACGAUUUUUAGUAUUAUAAAUUUUAAUUUUAGGAGAAAUGAUUAAAAAAAUUUAUUAUUGCACUUUAAAUUUUAAAAAUUUACUAACUAAACUUUGAAGUUUUAUCCUAAAUUUUUUUAAUGUGACAAUUUUGUUAGUCUCUAAUGGAAAAUUUUAUGUUGAGUAGCAAUUAAAAUAAGUAUAAAAAUAUGAAAUUUAAUUGGUGAAAGUAUGAAGUUUAAUUAGAUAUAUAUCUUUUUUUUUCAUUUAAAGGGAAUAAAAAUUUGAGUAAAAUUAUUAUUUAUUGAAAAAAAAAAUUUUUAGUUAUUCUUUCAAUUUUGAAAAUACAUUAAGUUUUUGAUGGUUUAAGAACUUUAAUAAUUAAUCUUUUUAUUAAUUUUAAUUAUUAAUAUUAUUAAAAAAAUAUAAAUUCAAUACUGAGAGAUUAAUAAAUUAGCAGUUUUCUUAUAAAUUUAAUAGAUUAAUUAAUAAUUUUUUUUAAAUUAUAGAAAUUAAAUAGUAAAAUAUUUAGCAGAUAAAACUAACAUAUAUAGUAAAUUUUUAAAAAAUUAGAAAUAUUUUAAUAUAUUUUUUAAAAUCCAGAGAUGAGUUUUUUCGUAAUUUAAAGAUUAAAUAGUAAAUUUUUUUAAAAUAAUUAUUCAUAAUGAACUUUUCAUUUAAAUGCAAAAUAUUUUUAAUUUAAAUGCAAAAUAUUUCAAAAUUUUUUAUAAUAUUUAAUUAGUAAAAUUUAAUGGAAUCAAUUAAUAAUUUUUUUAAAAUUUUAAGAAUGAUUUAAUAUAUUUUUUAAAAUUAAAAUUUUUUUAUAUUAUAAAAUUAAAUAGUAAUUUUUCUAAUUAAAAAUUAUUUAGUAAACAUAGAAAGAAGUGAAUGAGACUGGCUAACAUGUAGACAACAGUGGUGAUGAUAAGCUUAUUGAUAACUUCUUACAAGUGAUGAAGGAGACUGCACGUUUGAAAUGUCAAAAGUGAAUGAGUAAUUAGAGAAAAUUUAUAUAGAUAAAAUUUUGUAGGUUAAAUGAAUAUUUUUAUUUAAUUUAUUAUUUAUAUAAAUAUUAUUUAAUUUUAUUUAUAUUUAUGAUUUAUUUUUUUAAAAAAAUUAAUUUAAUUAUAUUUAAAUAAUUUAUGAAAAUAUUAAAUAAUCUAAUUAUUACUUAUAGUAUUCUCUUUUUUUUAUUUUUUUUAUAAAUUUAAACAAUCUAAUAUAUAAUUUCGAUCAAUCGUAUAAAUAAAAAAAUAAAUAAAAAUAAUUAUUAUUAAUUAUCAUUAAAAAGUGAUUGUAAAAAAUAAAUAUAAAUAACUUAGCUUUAAGGAUUUAAGGAUUUAAUAAUAAUAAUUUUUUCCUUAUUUUUUUAGAAUUGAAAAAAAAUUACAUAAACACACCUAUAUAAUUUAAAAAAUUUGAGUGUGCCAACAAUAGAUUAAUGGCUAGAGCCGCCUGAAGAGGUUUUCAUGUAAAAUGAACACAGAAACAAUGUCAAUCUCCGUCUACCUUAAUUCCACGAUUGGAGAAAUUGUAAUCUUCGUUUUCCUGCUCAUCUCCCAAACUUGCAAGGGUGGGGAUUCAAAUCAGUGUCCACCUUCUUCAUGUGGGAAGAAUCACAACAUCAGUUACCCUUUUCGAUUACAAACUGAUCCUAAGAAUUGCGGAAACCAUAGCUAUGAGGUUUCUUGCGAAAAUAAUUUGACGGUGUUAAAUCUUAACGGUGGAAGAUACUUUGUUCAAUCCAUCAACUACGAUAACUUCACUAUCCGACUGGUGGAUGCCGGCGUCCAUCCAGACAAUUGCUCCUCCAUUCCUCGUUUUCCAUUUAUAUACGAUCUGUCGGAAAGAUAUUCCACUUAUAGAUACCAAUGGUCAGAAACAGAAGAACGCAAAUGGAAGAAGUUAAGACAGCUUCCAGAGUUGUCGCAGAUGAUUAUGUUCAUAAAGUGUCAAAAUCCAGUGAAGUCUCCUCUUUACGUGGAAACAGCUCCUUGUCUUAACUCAUCUUAUGUAAAU
rnacentral:lncRNA from 1 species